GUCCCUAUCUACUAUCUAGCGAAACCACAGCCAAGGGAACGGGCUUGGAAUCAUUAGCGGGGAAAGAAGACCCUGUUGAGCUUGACUCUAGUUUGGCACUGUAAGAAGACAUAAGAGGUGUAGCAUAAGUGGGAGAUAGGCUUGCUUAUCAACAAUGAAAUACCACUACUUUUAUCGUUUUCUUACUUACUUGAUUAAAUGGAGAAUGCACUUUCAUUCAUACCAUUUGUGUAUCGAUUUAUCUUUGCACCUAUGACUAUGAUGAUCUUGUGCACUUUUCUUGAUCCAAGUGUCAUGAACCGUUGGUACGUUUGUACAAUUUUGAUAUUGCUGGGGAGCAAUCUUUGGUGAUGUUGAAAUUGGAGUAUUAACAUUAUGGUUAAGACACGAUCCAAGUCAGGGACACUGCCAGGUGGGGAGUUUGACUGGGGCGGUACAUCUCUAAAACAAUA
rnacentral:rRNA from 1 species